GACGUAGGGAGCGAGCGUUGUCCGGAAUUACUGGGCGUAAAGAGCUCGUAGGCGGGACCGUAAGUCCGAGAGGAAAUCUCAAGGCUCAACUUUGGGGCUUUCUUGGAUACUGCGGUUCUGAGGAUGAGAGAGGUAAGUAGAAUUCCCGGUGUAGCGGUGAAAUGCGUAGAUAUCGGGAGGAAUACCAGUGGCGAAGGCGGACUUACUGGCUCAUUCCUGACGCUGAGGAGCGAAAGCGUGGGGAGCAAACGGG
rnacentral:rRNA from 1 species